rnacentral:rRNA from 1 species
CAAAUGACUCUCGGCAACGGAUAUCUCGGCUCAUGCAUCGAUGAAGAACGUAGCGAAAUGCGAUACUUGGUGUGAAUUGCAGAAUCCCGUGAACCAUCGAGUUUUUGAACGCAAGUUGCGCCCGAAGCCAUUCGGCCGAGGGCACGUCUGCCUGGGCGUCACAC